rnacentral:tRNA from 1 species
GUUUUAAUAAUUUAAAAAAAAUNUUAGUCUUGUAAGCUAAAAUUAGGUAANACUUGAAAACU